GUUGGUUAAGUCCCGCAACGAGCGCAACCCCUAUUGUUAGUUGCCAUCAUUCAGUUGGGCACUCUAGCGAGACUGCCGGUAAUAAACCGGAGGAAGGUGGGGAUGACGUCAAAUCAUCAUGCCCCUUAUGACCUGGGCUACACACGUGCUACAAUGGUUGGUACAACGAGUUGCGAGUCGGUGACGGCGAGCUAAUCUCUUAAAGCCAAUCUCAGUUCGGAUUGUAGGCUGCAACUCGCCUACAUGAAGUCGGAAUCGCUAGUAAUCGCGGAUCAGCACGCCCGCGGUCCGAAUACGUUCCGGCCUU
rnacentral:rRNA from 1 species